rnacentral:rRNA from 1 species
UCCUACGGGAGGCAGCAGUGGGGAAUUUUGGACAAUGGGGGCAACCCUGAUCCAGCAAUGCCGCGUGUGUGAAGAAGGCCUUCGGGUUGUAAAGCACUUUUGUCCGGAAAGAAAACCUCCGGGUUAAUACCCUGGGGGGAUGACGGUACCGGAAGAAUAAGCACCGGCUAACUACGUGCCAGCAGCCGCGGUAAUACGUAGGGUGCAAGCGUUAAUCGGAAUUACUGGGCGUAAAGCGUGCGCAGGCGGUUCGCUAAGACCGAUGUGAAAUCCCCGGGCUUAACCUGGGAACUGCAUUGGUGACUGGCGGGCUAGAGUAUGGCAGAGGGGGGUAGAAUUCCACGUGUAGCAGUGAAAUGCGUAGAGAUGUGGAGGAAUACCGAUGGCGAAGGCAGCCCCCUGGGCCAAUACUGACGCUCAUGCACGAAAGCGUGGGGAGCAAACAGGAUUAGAUACCCUGGUAGUCCACGCCCUAAACGAUGUCUUCUGGUUGUCGGGUCUUCAUUACUUAUUAACGUCUUUCCGUAAGUGACCGCUGGAGCACGUCGCAUGU